rnacentral:rRNA from 1 species
GUGUCAGCCGCCGCGGUAAUACGGAGGGGGCCAGCGUUGUUCGGAAUCAUUGGGCGUAAAGGGCGCGUAGGCGGCUCAGUAAGUCAGUUGUGAAAUCCCUCGGCUCAACCGAGGAACUGCGUCUGAUACUGCUGGGCUUGAGUCCCGGAGAGGGUAGCGGAAUUCCCAGUGUAGCGGUGAAAUGCGUAGAUAUUGGGAGGAACACCAGUGGCGAAGGCGGCUACCUGGACGGGUACUGACGCUGAUGCGCGAAAGCGUGGGGAGCAAACAGGAUUAGAAACCCCAGUAGUCC